GCCUUGGUGGUGAAAUGGUAUACACGUAAGACUCAAAAUUUUAUGCUUUAAAGCGUGGAGGUUCGAAUCCUCUUCAAGGCA
rnacentral:tRNA from 1 species